rnacentral:rRNA from 1 species
UACGUAGGGUGCAAGCGUUACUCGGAAUUACUGGGCGUAAAGCGUGCGCAGGCGGUUGUGUAAGACAGAUGUGAAAUCCCCGGGCUCAACCUGGGAACUGCAUUUGGGACUGCAAGGCUGGAGUGCGGCAGAGGAGACUGGAAUUCCUGGUGUAGCAGUGAAAUGCGUAGAUAUCAGGAGGAAUACCGAUGGCGAAGGCAGGUCUCUGGGCUGACACUGACGCUCAUGCACGAAAGCGUGGGGAGCAAACAGG